UACGUAGGGUGCGAGCGUUAAUCGGAAUUACUGGGCGUAAAGCGUGCGCAGGCGGUUCGUUAAGUCAGAUGUGAAAGCCCCGGGCUCAACCUGGGAAUGGCAGUGGAAACUAGGGGACUGGAAUCUGGCAGAGGGGGGUGGAAUGCCGCGUGUAGCAGUGAAAUGCGUAGAGAUGCGGCGGAACACCGAUGGCGAAGGCAGCCCCCUGGGCUGAGAUUGACGCUCAGGCACGAAAGCGUGGGGAGCAAACAGG
rnacentral:rRNA from 1 species